UUUUUUUUUUUUUUUUUUUAAUACAAACAACCCGUAGAAUUUCCACUAUUAAAGGUCGGAUAAUUUUUACAAGACGCACGCAUCAUAAUUAAUUAAUACAAACAAGUAAAACACUCUCAUCUCAGGCUUUUAAGAUGUCAAGUUAUCGAUGAUGGUUGUGUGCAGAGGGUCACUCAAGUGAGUAGCCCAGUUGUUGAGAGGACCUUUUCCAGUAACAGCAGCUUGGACAGCAAAUCCUAGGAAGGCAACCAUGGCAAGACGUGCGUGCUUGAUCUCUGCCAAUUGAAGAGUCGCCUUCUUCUCUGGAUCUGAGGCUAGACCUAGUGGAUCAAAGAACUUCCCUCCAGGGUACAGCCUUUUCUCAGGGUCUAGCUCUGCGUUUCUUUGGAACUCUAUGUACCCAAUAAGCAAAACCUCAAUCCAGAUCAAUGUAGUAAUGGAGAAUGGUAGUGGCUGGCCUAGAUAAGAUGACCCUUCAACUAGCUCCACCUUUCCAGCAUCUUGCCAGGUGACUCCAGUGAGCCACUCAACGGUGAGUGCCCCGAGAGUAGCCAACAUAGCCCACCUUCCAUGAAUGAGCUCGCACUCCCUAAACCUUUGCAACCCAAACACCUCGCUGUAAGGCUGGAAUGGCGUGGACUUCACAUCGGAGACCUCUGUGCGGGUUCCAAUCACAUCACCAGCCGAGUUCUUAGACAAGUUCUGGUCUAAAGAGUCCAACUCGAACUGCAAAUACUGCGCGGGUUUCCCCAACCCGAAUGGGUCAAACCCAUAAUCUCCCACUAAGCUACCGUCUAGAUACUCUGGUGCCUUGGCUCCUGGGUACCAUAGCGGCCGGUCUGAGUUACGCUUCGCGGAUUUCUUGGGUACGGACUUCUUGGUGCCAAAUCCGAACCGAGAUUGAACCCGACCAGAGUUGGUGUAAAUGUCUGGUAGACGCGUUCCCAUGAAGGAUGAUGCAGCGGCAGCAGCCGUGGAGGAAGCCAUGGCUAGAGUGUAACGUGAGCAGAAGAUAGAAUUAAUGGGAAGCUGGGAAGUGGGGUGGUGAUUUGAUAUGUGUUGUGUUAUACUGGGGGAAGUAUCAAUGAAUAUGAGCUUCUAUAUCCAUGGUGUUGGGCAUGAACCGUUGGAUGAAGUUGCGUAUCCAUCUGACGAAUGAGAAAGCAUCGGCCUUAUCUUCGCCUUAUCUGCAUUUGAAUUGUGGAGUCCAGCGACUUACACUUGAUUCGUUGUUGGCUUGUGAUCUAUUUGUGGUUGAUGUUGCUAGGAGAAAAUCUACCCGUUUCUCCUUCUGGAUUUUGGAUAAAUAACCUGCG
rnacentral:misc_RNA from 1 species